AUCCCAUGCUGUGGACACUUUCGUAACAUAUUCUUGAACUUAUUCCAGGCUUCAUCGAAAUUCUCCGAAUCACCUUGGUGGAAAACAGAGAUGUCGUGUUUGACCUU
rnacentral:snoRNA from 1 species